UACGUAGGGGGCAAGCGGUUGUCCGGAAUUAUUGGGCGUAAAGAGCGCGUAGGCGGUCCGAUAAGUCGGCUGUGAAAGUCAAGGGCUCAACCCUUGAAAGCCGGCCGAUACUGUCGGACUAGAGUCCGGAAGAGGCAAGUGGAAUUCCCGGUGUAGCGGUGAAAUGCGCAGAUAUCGGGAGGAACACCAAUGGCGAAGGCAGCUUGCUGGGACGGUACUGACGCUGAGGCGCGAAAGCUAGGGAGCAAACGG
rnacentral:rRNA from 1 species